AGCUCUGUAAGCGUAUACCAAAGUUGUUGCAGUUAAAACGCUCGUAGUCGGAAGUUGGUAGUUCCGGGUGUGUGUGCUAUGUGCGCGUGCAUCGCAGGGGCUGCUUUUGUGGGCGUGCGCGACAUGAGGCGGCUUUAUUGCUGAACGUGUUUGUGCUACCACCGUUUACUGUGAAAAAAUUAGAGUGUUCAAAGCAGGCAAUUGCCGUGAAUACAUUAGCAUGGAAUAAUGGAAUAGGACUCUGUCUUAUUUUGUUGGUUUGUUGAGGCUGAGUAAUGAUUAAGAGGGACAGUUGGGGGCAUUUGUAUUCCGAAGCUAGAGGUGAAAUUCUUAGAUUUUCGGAAGACAAACCGCUGCGAAAGCGUCUGCCAAGGAUGUUUUCA
rnacentral:rRNA from 1 species